rnacentral:rRNA from 1 species
GUGAAAUCCCACGGCUCAACCGUGGAACUGCCUUUGAAACUGCAGGGCUUGAAUCCUGGAGAGGGUGGCGGAAUUCCUGGUGUAGGAGUGAAAUCCGUAGAUAUCAGGAGGAACACCGGUGGCGAAGGCGGCCACCUGGACAGGCAUUGACGCUGAGGUGCGAAAGUGUGGGGAGCAAACAGGAUUAGAUACCCUGGUAGUCCACGCCGUAAACGAUGUCGACUAGCCGUUGGGGUCCUUGAGACCUUUGUGGCGCAGUUAACGCGAUAAGUCGACCGCCUGGGGAGUACGGCCGCAAGGUUAAAACUCAAAUGAAUUGACGGGGGCCCGCACAAGCGGUGGAGCAUGUGGUUUAAUUCGAUGCAACGCGAAGAACCUUACCUACCCUUGACAUCGUGCGAACUUUCCAGAGAUGGAUUGGUGCCUUCGGGAGCGCACAGACAGGUGCUGCAUGGCUGUCGUCAGCUCGUGUUGUGAAAUG